GGGUCGUUAGCUCAGUUGGUAGAGCAGUUGACUUUUAAUCAAUUGGUCGCAGGUUCGGGUCGAACGCAGUGAGACAACGGAGCCGCUUGCGGCGACGGCCCGAAGGGCGAGGCGAAGCCGAGUCAUCCUGCACGACCCACCA
rnacentral:tRNA from 1 species